rnacentral:rRNA from 1 species
AUUGAACGCUGGCGGCAUGCCUUACACAUGCAAGUCGAACGGUAACGGGUCCUUCGGGAUGCCGACGAGUGGCGAACGGGUGAGUAAUAUAUCGGAACGUGCCCAGUAGUGGGGGAUAACUGCUCGAAAGAGCAGCUAAUACCGCAUACGACCUGAGGGUGAAAGGGGGGGAUCGCAAGACCUCUCGCUAUUGGAGCGGCCGAUAUCAGAUUAGCUAGUUGGUGGGGUAAAGGCCUACCAAGGCAACGAUCUGUAGUUGGUCUGAGAGGACGGCCAGCCAAACUGGGACUGAGACACGGCCCAGACUCCUACGUGAGGCAGCAGUGGGGAAUGUUGGACAAUGGGCGCAAGCCUGAUCCAGCAAUGCCGCGUGCAGGAAGAAGGCCUUCGGGUUGUAAACUGCUUUUGUCAGGGAAGAAAUCUUCUGGGCUAAUACCCCGGGAGGAUGACGGUACCUGAAGAAUAAGCACCGGCUAACUACGUGCCAGCCGCCGCCGUAA